UACGUAGGUGACAAGCGUUGUCCGGAUUUACUGGGCGUAAAGAGCGCGCAGGCGGUCGAUCAAGUCGAGUGUGAAAGCCCCCGGCUCAACUGGGGAGGGUCAUUCGAUACUGAUCGACUCGAAGGCAGGAGAGGGUAGUGGAAUUCCUGGUGUAGCGGUGAAAUGCGCAGAUAUCAGGAGGAACACCAAUGGCGAAGGCAGCUCGCUGGGACGGUACUGACGCUGAGACGCGAAAGCGUGGGGAGCAAACAGG
rnacentral:rRNA from 1 species